rnacentral:rRNA from 1 species
UAACAAAAACAUUUCUAUUAGAUUUCAUUAAUAGUAUAAUCUGCUCAAUGAUAUUAAAUAGCCGCUAUUACUGUGCUAAGGUAGCAUAAUCAUUUGUCUUUUAAUUAAAGACUAGAACAAAAGAUUGAACAUUUUAAUUAAUAUAUCCAAACUAAUUAAUUAAAUUUAUUUUAAAUGUAAAAAAACAUUUAUAAAUUAGAAAGACGAUAAGACCCUAUUAAACUUAACUUAAGUUAAACUGGGGCAGUUAAUUAAUUAUCAUUUUAAUUUAAAUACAAAAACAAAUAGAUCCUAUAAAAUAGGUUAAAUGAUCAAGUUACUAUAGGGAUAACAGCGUAAUAUUAAUUAAAAGACCUUAUUAAAAUAAAAGAUUACGACCUCGAUGUUGAAUUAAUAACCUAUAUAGUUGCAAUAAACAAUAAAGG